UACGGAGGGUGCGAGCGUUGUCCGGAAUCACUGGGCGUAAAGGGCGCGUAGGCGGCGCGGAUAGUCGGCGGUGAAAGCCCGGAGCUCAACUCCGGGUCGGCCGUCGAUACUUCCGGGCUUGAGCACUGUAGAGGCAGAUGGAAUUCCGGGUGUAGCGGUGAAAUGCGCAGAUAUCAGGAGGAACACCGAUGGCGAAGGCAGGUCUCUGGGCAUUAACUGACGCUGAGGAGCGAAAGCAUGGGGAGCGAACAGG
rnacentral:rRNA from 1 species